AGAUUACAAAAAAAAUCUAAGAAUUUGAGAUCCUCUUCCUGUAGGAAGUCGCUUCAUAACUUGGGAUGAAUAUCAAAAUUGAGCACCAUCUAUUACCAACGAUUUCGUACGGUAUUUGAAUAAGAAGGAACUUAAGAGGAAGAGGAAGACCGAGGAAUAACUACAUGGAACAGAUAAAGGAAACACUAGGUGUCAUGUCGUAUAGGGAGAUCAAGGAUAUGGCCUGGGAUAAAACUGGCUGAAAGAAGAUGCAUGAAUUAGUUGCACCGACAAGAGGAAACUCUUAAAUGAAAAGAAGAAGAAAGGUGAAAAUAGAAUAGUAACCCCGCCUGCGCUAACGGGAUUCGCUGGCGGAGCACCAGCGAAGGGUGAUAGAUGAGAAUGAAAUAAGGCCAGUUAGCCCAUCAUGAUGAAUUCAUCAGGAAUUAACCGUGAUAGUUUCCAGGGGGAACCGCGAGGAGGUCGACCUGGUUGGGUAUAUUGCUAGCAAUGGGAUUCUCAGUCUCUAUUACUAACAAUCACUUUCCCCCCCCCCCCUGUCAGCUUGUAUUUUAUGUCGCAUAAAAACUACUUCUAUCGUGGCAAACACAGGAUUAAAGCAAAUCUAUAAUAAAAAUAAUCAUCGUAAUCGGGUUAGAAUGUCGCCAGUUAAUAACAUCACGUAAUAUUUAUACAAAAAAUACUGAUAGAGAAACAUCGCUUUUUUAAGUUGGUUAAAAAUAAAUUGCAUAUAAGCCUCGUAAGCUAAAAAUUACAAGUUUCUUAAUUCAGACGAGUAUUUUUCAUUUUUUUUAUAAUAGUCGAAUAAUGAUUCGCUAUAAAUCCAGUGCGGUACAAAUUUCACUUUUGUUCAUGAUUGCUUUCAUUCAGCUUAUCAAAGGGCGACUGGAAGAGAUCCCUUUAAGGAGAUAAGUCCGCCAUUGUAUAGAUUUAUUUCAUGUCAACAUUUUUACUUUCCUAAACAGUGAGGAUUUAACGAACAAGCAAUCUAUUCACAGUCCAUUUAUUUAGACAAGGAUAUUUUUUUCACAAAAAAGCGCCCUUAGUAAUUUUAUAUAUUUAUAUACAUAUAUAUGAUAUUUAUACA